AGCUUAUGGUAAAAAUCCAACAACAAGUUGGGGCACCACCGCACAGGAAAACCAAAUAAAAAAUCGUUUUCCAAUUUUUACUUGCUUCAGGAUUUUGAAUUGGUAAGAUGAACUUAGUCCUUUCGGGGAAAUCCAAUAAAACUGGUCAGAUGAAUUUAAAUUCUUAUAAUUUUUUGCCUUUGCAUUGUUAAAAAAUUAAUUAAGUUUGAAGUUUCAAUGACUAUGGAUUAUAUGUUUGGUGCCUAAAAGAUGAUUUUUUUUUUUUUCAUAAUAUGAAUUUUUAUCUUCCAUAAAACACAAGUUUAUGAUUGUUUUUUUUUAGAUGGUUAAAAUGUUGGAGCUUUUUUUGUCUCUUUAGUUAGUUUAUAUAUCGGCCCUGCACAUUUAAAACUCUGGUACAUUUCUCUAAUAAAUGUAGGUCCAUUGAUUCAAGUGUGUCUCACCUUAAUUAAAAAGAUAGUAAAAAUAUGAUACAACAAAUAUGAUAAAAGUAACAUUUUUGUAAGAAAAUAAAAUAUAAAAAAAAGCAAAGUAAUACACAUAGGUGGGUAUGACAAAAUUGACUUAUAAAGCAGGAAUGAGUUUAUUCCGAGGACUAGUGACGAAUCUCCAAACACUUUUG
rnacentral:lncRNA from 1 species